UACAGGGGGUGCAAACGUUGCUCGGAAUUAUUGGGCGUAAAGCGCGCGUAGGCGGCUACUUAAGUCGGAUGUGAAAGCCCUUGGCUCAACUGAGGAAGUGCACCCGAAACUGAGUGGCUUGAGUACUAAAGAGGGUCGCGGAAUUCCCGGUGUAGAGGUGAAAUUCGUAGAUAUCUGGAGGAACACCGGUGGCGAAGGCGGCAUCCUGGACCAACACUGACGCUGAGGAGCGAAAGCCAGGGGAGCAAACGGG
rnacentral:rRNA from 1 species